rnacentral:rRNA from 1 species
AGCUAGUUGGUGAGGUAAUGGCUCACCAAGGCAAUGACACCUAACUGGUUUGAGAGGAUGAUCAGUCACACUGGAACUGAGACACGGUCCAGACUCCUACGGGAGGCAGCAGUGGGGAAUAUUGCACAAUGGACGAAAGUCUGAUGCAGCAACGCCGCGUGGAGGAUGACACAUUUCGGUGCGUAAACUCCUUUUAUAUAGGAAGAUAAUGACGGUACUAUAUGAAUAAGCACCGGCUAACUCCGUGCCAGCAGCCGCAGUAAUACGGAGGGUGCAAGCGUUACUCGGAAUUACUGGGCGUAAAGAGCGUGUAGGCGGGUAAAUAAGUUGGAAGUGAAAUCCUAUGGCUCAACCAUAGAACUGCUUCAAAAACUGUUAACCUAGAAUGUGGGAGAGGUAGAUGGAAUUUCCGGUGUAGGGGUAAAAUCCGUAGAUAUCAGAAGGAAUACCGAUUGCGAAGGCGAUCUACUGGAACAUAAUUGACGCUGAGACGCGAAAGCGUGGGGAGCAAACAGGAUUAGAUACCCUGGUAGUCCACGCCCUAAACGAUGUACACUAGUUGUUGUGAGGCUAGACCUUGCAGUAAUGCAGUUAACACAUUAAGUGUACCGCCUGGGGAGUACGGUCGCAAGAUUAAAACUCAAAGGAAUAGACGGGGACCCGCACAAGCGGUGGAGCAUGUGGUUUAAUUCGACUAUACGCGAAGAACCUUACCUGGUCUUGACAUAGAAAGAACUUUCCAGAGAUGGAUUGGUGCCUGCUUGCAGGAGCUUUCAUACAGGUGCUGCACGGCUGUCGUCAGCUCGUGUCGUGAGAUGUUGGGUUAAGUCCCGCAACGAGCGCAACCCUCGUCGUUAGUUGCUAACAGUUCGGCUGAGAACUCUAACGAGACUGCCUACGCAAGUAGGAGGAAGGUGAGGACGACGUCAAGUCAUCAUGGCCCUUACGACCAGGGCUACACACGUGCUACAAUGGGGUAUACAAAGAGCAGCGAUACGGUGACGUGGAGCGAAUCUCAAAAAUGCCUCCCAGUUCGGAUAGUAGUCUGCAACUCGACUACUUGAAGUUGGAAUCGCUAGUAAUCGUAGAUCAGCUAUGCUACGGUGAAUACGUUCCCGGGUCUUGUACUCACCGCCCGUCACACCAUGGGAGUUGAAUUCAUUCGAAGCGGGGAUGCUAAAAUAGCUACCUUCCACAGUGGAUUUAGCGACUGGGGUGAAGUCGUAACAAGGUAACCGUAGGAACCUGCGGUUG